CAAGAGAUGAUGCGUUUGAAUGUGCAGAGCAGCGAUAUACAUCGUCAAUAAACACAAAAGAGUUCAUUUCAGUCACCUGAUUAUACAGACAGAGAACAUCUGUUCAUGAAACUUACUAAUGCAACAUUUGCUCCAGUACUAAAAAUGAGCAUAUUACAUUAAGAAACAAAAUGCAGGCCAAGGAUGCACUGUAAGUCGCUUAGGAUAAAAGCUGAAAUGUAAGUGUAAAAAAACACAUUCAAGAAAAAUGUGCUGCUGUUUAGUUUUGUGGCAAUUUCUCUGGGCUUUGUUAAAGGAGUAGUUCACCUUAAAAUGAAAAUUAUGUUAUCAUUUCAAACCUCUAUGACUUUGUUCAAAAUAUCUUCUUUUGUGUUCUGUAGAAGAAUGUUGGUACCGUCGGUCCCCAUUGACUUGCAUUGGUUUUAAGUCCUUACGAUAGAAGUGAAUGGGCAUCAACGGUUUUUGGUGAGCGACAUUCUUCAAAAUAGCUCAUUUUGUGUUUUGCAAGGCGGCGUGUAAACGAUGACAGAAUUUUCAUUUUGAGGUGAACUACUCCUUUAAAUUCAUUUUUAAACGUUAAAUUGCAUUCUUCAAUCUUAGCUUAAUGUACAAAUUAUUUUUUCAAGAGGUCAAAACAAUCAUUUUUGUCUUGGUUUUAGGAUGCUAAAGACAGGAACCGUUGGUAAGAGCAAGACAAAGAUUGACCUGACCCGACCCCUGUGCAUCUUCUUGUAGGCGGAUGACCAAGUAGGAUAUGUUCCUGAAACAACAUUUCUAUCAACCAAUCAGAUUCCAGAAUUAGGUUUAGGGUCAAUAUUAGGUUUAGCGAGUGAAAAAAAAAUCCAGUUAAAAACCUCAGUUUUCUGGCUGCUGGGGUGCCGGAACUAGACUGGAAAUGCUAGACUGUAAUAAAAUCCCGUAAAAAAUGCGGUGCCAGAAAUACACUGUUAAAAAUAAAAAUAAAAGUUUGCUGUUUUUCUCGUAAAUUAGCAGUGUUUUUCUUGACGGUUUUUGACCGUCUUUCAAAAAAUUAAAUAAAAAAAACUUUAUUUUGACAGUGCAGGAUAGGGCCUUGCGUACCGUUCAUACCAGUCUAUUGUUUCUCUCUGAUUUAAGGGUUAAGUUAUGGUUAGGAUGUGGGUUAGGACAUUUCUUUGACUUGAAUGUUGCAAAGUUGUUGAUCCAGGAACACAUCUUUCUCGGCGAAAUCACGUUGACCCUAUAAAACAUCACAUUGCCAUAUUUAACAUGAAUAAUAAUGAGAAUAAACAGUUCUUCUGCCAAGAAAUACACUUCAUAAGCCUAACCACAGGCUAUUUACUCUACAUUUGCCAAGUGAAUAAGCAAUGUGAUGCAGUAAUGUGCAGUCACAGCAUUGGUCUGCGUUUUGUAACGGCUCUGAACGUCCUCGUCCAAUCAGAAUGCACAGAUGGAACUAUCAGUUUUAUAAGCAUGAAUAAUCAACUCUCAAAAGCUGCAGAGUAAAACCGCAAGCAUCCCUGUGAGGCGGUCUGUGCAUCCCCUCCAGCUCAUCCCAGUACGGCCCAGUUCACUGUGUGUGUGAUGGAGAUUAAACCCACCAACCCAACGCUUCAUCCAGCCACAGAGUCACAGCGCAGCAGGACGCUGACUCACCUCUGUCACGCACGCACACACACAUACAUAAAUUCACACUUCCCGCCAACACACGGCCAUCUGCUGCUUCAGCGCAUUUUCCUCACAUGAACCAUGCUUGUGUUCUGCGUUUAAGAUGAAGAUGCAUUUGAUUAGCAGCAUAUGCAUACAACAAAUGAAGGUUUUGAAGGAAGUUUUGAUCAAGCAGUUUUAUAGCUCAGGAGAUGAUAAAGUUCUUAGUUGUGUUACAUUUAAGUCUCAGGUUAGUCUGGGAUGUAUCUUCUAAAAUUACUAAUCGGAUGUGUAAAAUGAAUGGAGAUUGUCGGGGUAAAACAAUCUGUAUUUGGGUGUAUUUGAUGAGAAAUGUUUGAGUUCAUAUUGAGAUCUUCAAUAAUAUUGACUUUUGAUUGCAGACUUGACACAUCUGAGCUCAGUUUGACACAUUUGACAUCUCUUCUCAAACUCUAAUGACAGACACAUUUGUCAGAUUUCUGACUCUUUUUCUCAAGAGAAACAUCUGAGAUGCAGAUGAGACUCAAAGAAGUCCAUUUGUUCUCAUUGAUGCCUAGAAGUAAUAAUUGCGAUAUUAAAGAGAUCUCGUUUGUGAUUUUUCUGACAGAAACGAAUCCCGAUCAUGUUGAUAUUAUGAGUUAAAGUCCCAGUGAAAUAAAAAAUUACAAUGCCUAUUUUUACAUGAAAUAUUGCAGCGUUUCUUGUAAAUAGUUUAUCAAUGUGAGUCAUUCUCUUUUUAAAAAUCGUGUGCCCUCAUGAUCUUCAGUUAAAAUCUGAAACUGCACUUCCUUCCUGUAGUGACUAUCCAUCUUAAAUGACGUAUGUUAGACGGCUUGGGCGGAGCAUCCGUUAACUCCUCCCCUUCGACUGUCAGUCUGCUGCCAGAUCCAUUUCAAAAUGCAACGGCUGUUUUUACACAUCCAAUCAAAUCGCAGAGAAAGACGAAAGCCACGCCCACUAUUUUUCUCAUUCGAAAUUCCAUUUCACUCGGAAGUGCGUCAAAAUACGGAAGUAAAAACUAUCGCAACAUCCGGUUCACGGAGACUUUAAACUCCUAGAGAAACAAUCCAGACUCUUCUUUGCAGAAGCGGUGCCUUUAGAAAUAAUCUCUCAAAGGAACAUUACGAAUCGAACACAAUCUGAAUCCGAGAUGUUUCUUAGAUACAGAUGUUAGACGCAGCUGGGUGGCUCUGCUAUCAAAAGCCUGUUUGUUAGAUGAUUUUGUCUCUCUGUGUGUGUGUUUUUCACAUGUUCCUCCUUGCCCGCAGGAGUGCUGACAUCACUAAUACUGUCAGCUCGGCAUCACACAGACAACAUAUCCGGGUCCCGAGGCCGUAUCCAGCUGCGUGUCUGCGUGCCACAUCUAGGGUGGCAUUGCCAUGACAACAACCUUCUUUCAUAUCCAUCAAACGUCUAUCCCUCAGGGCUGCUGCUGAUGUGAGCAACUGUCUCCACGGUGACAGACGCCAGAGAUAAAGCGAGGCAGCUUUUGCGGCAGCUAUGAAAGAUGCUGUGACCCACCUGUCAGAGAUUUUGAUGAGCACGGCCCGAUAGAGCUGGCGCUGGACGCUGGCGGGCUCCGGACUGCACGGGUGCACGAACGGGUGCACAG